rnacentral:lncRNA from 1 species
GGACCCGCUGAGCGCGCGGACACCUGGAGACUUGUACCCGCCCGCGGGGAGGUGGGGAGAGGGGCGCGGUUCGCCUGGGGUCGCGCACGUUGUCGGAGUCCCAGCGGAUACCGCCUGCCGGGGCCGCGCCCCGCUCUGCCCACGCCCCGCGCUGGACAGGAUGGAUUUCCGCUCGAUGCAGGGAGGGGCUGCCCUGCAGGCAGGCACUCAUUCUCUUUCCUGUCACCCUGUGAAGAGGUGCCUUCCGCCAUGACUGUGCUGAACGUGUCCUCCAAGGGUUUCAAGGUUAUCGUAUGCCCUGAAAUUGGGCAAGGAGCUUUAAGAGGGAACUUUGAGUUUGCCAGAGAAAACUCAAGAUGUUUCUACAUGAAGAAAAUGGUUUCAGACAUUUGACUUCUUUAAUUUUUGCAUACUCUUUGUGAUGGUUGUUAGCAAAGACCUAGAGUGGUUGUAUGGCUAUUUGCAAAGGCUGAGUGUGACUUGAUAUUGGCUCAACUUGAAAACUUUGAUAUUUGAUGUUUGUAUUCAAAAUUGGAAACAAAGGUGUUUAAAAGGAUGAUAUAUGAUUAUGGGGUGGCAUAUAAGACUUUGCAGAACUUACCUGCACACUUAUAUAUUUUCUGCCAAAAUAGUUGUUUGUUUUGAUGUUAACCUGUGCUUGUCAUGUUUAUCUCCAUACCUUCUUUGGUUUAAAGUUUAUUCUAAUUAAAACCCUAAUUAGUAAUAUUUGUAUUUACUGGUAGCUUAGCUGUCUGAGUGUAAUCUCAUUUUGUUUGUUAAUUGGUUUGCAUUAUUAGCUCAUUUUAAAUUGCCAAGAAAAAUCCUGAAGACAAGUGAACAUAAUUAAAUUGGAGCAUGGGUCACUUCUUACUGCCUCUUUUUCCAGUGAGCAGAGAAUUUCUAUAAACAAAAACAAGGUCUACUUUAAAGAGAAAUAAAUAAGGUUUGUAUUUUAAGUAAGGAUAAAUCCUAUUGUAUUUAAGAUGAUAGUUGUGAGAUUUGAUUGUUGUGAAAUUUGAUUGUUAUGAAAUAUGAGAAGGUAAAACUGAGACUUAUUUGAAGAUUCAUGCAAUAAUUUUCUUAUUUGAGCAACAUUUAAGACUUCAUAGGGGGCGCCUUUUGGUAAAGAAGCAGAAACUUUGGAGUUAGAUAGACCUGGGUUGGGGCUUGGAUUUGACAUUUACUGUCUGUGAGAUCUUGGUUAAGUUACAGGCUGAGUAUCCCUUAUCCAAAAUGCUUGUGACCACAAGCGUUUUGGACGUCAGAUUUUUUCAGUUUGGAAUAUUUGCAUAUACAUUAUGAGCUAUCUCAGGGAUGGAACCCAAAUCUGAUCACAAAAUUUAUUUAUAUUUCCUAUAUAUCUUAUACACAUGGUCUGCAGGUAAUUUUAGAUAAUAUUUUAAAAUAAUUUUGUGCAUGAAACAGAGUUUUGACUGUAACCUGUCACAUGAGGCCAAGUGUGAAAUUUUCCACUUGUGACAUAAUGCCAGUGCUCAAAAGAUUUCAAAUUUUGGAGAAUUUCAGAUUUGAAAUUUUUGGAUUAGGGAUGCUCAACCAGUAUUACUCUUUCUAAGCCUCAGUUUUCUCAUCUUUAAAAUGGAUAUAAUAGCAGCUGUUUAAUAGUACGUUGUUAGAAUUAAAUGAAAUAGUGUAUGUCAGGUAGCUCACACACCUUAGGCACUUAAAGAACACAGUUUAGUUUUCCUUCUAGUCUUUAGAUGAUUCAGGGAGCAUAAUUAGAAGUUAUAAACAACAACAAAACUCCACCUGUGAAAUCUUUCUCUCUGUACGUCACUUAGGUAAACAUAGCCAGAUUUUCUGCAGAGAAGCAUAAACAGUCUUUAUUGUCAGUUUGAUUGUCGACUUAUCAUAAAACAAACACAAUAGUCUGAAUUUAAGAAAUAGGGGCUUUAAAUAGGCGGUGAGUAAAUAGGCUGUGAGCAAGAAAGUUUUGACUAUCACUAUACAAAAAACACUUGAUGUGCAGAUUUGCCUAACACAUUUUUUAAAAAUUAUAGAAAUGUAAUUCUGUAUUUUCACAACUAAAUUAAUCUUUUCCCCUUCUGGUUAAUUGGGGAAUUAUUUUUUACCUAGAAUAAUAAAACAUAUGAUAUGAUCAAGUUCAAUAAUUUACUCUUCAAAUUGAUGAAACAGUUCUUCAAAUAGUCUCACAUAAUUACACUGCACAUUUGAAAAGUAUUCAUUUCUUAUAAUAUAUUUAAAUCAAUGGUUAAAAAUGAGCACACAGACAGAAUAUGCCAACAAAUUUUGCUUUCCAGGGUGGCGGUGGAGAAGAGAUGGGAGGUAGGAGGGAGAAGGGGAAUUGAGAGGUAGCUAAAUCCCUAGAUCAAUGAAAGUAAUUAAACAAUCUUGAAAAAUUUGAUAAAUAAUUAGUGCUAACAAACUCAAUAGAAAUCAAAACUAGUUAAUACACUUAAAGACGAAAAGAAUCUCACAGACAAAUAAAAGAUAGAGAAUGGCCAUUUAUUUAUUCAACAAAUAUUUAUUUAGUGACUAUGAUGUAAAAAAUAGAGCUAUAAACUAAAGAAUAUGUGGGCUAAUUGAAAAAAAUGUAUUUAUGGUAGAAAGAAUUGAAGUCAAAUAUUUUAUUCAGUUUACAAAUGAAAGCCUCAUAGAUGUAGCUAAAAUUACCAUCCUAAUUAUUGUAAAAGUUACUACUUUUGAAAUGAAAAAAUAUAAAAACAUGACAACUUUUCCCCUCUCAUUCAACUCCAUUUUUCAUAGUACCUUUUGUGCCUAUCCUUUCCAAUCUUUUCCUAAUUUUAUACAGACCCAGUGAAAGAUACAUUACACACACAUUUUAUAAUUUCAUGGACAAAUUACCUUCCCAUAGGUUAUAUUAAUUUAGAUGAGGAGACUUCCAGGUUGCCAAAUACUCCUGCUAGCAUUGGAUACUACCUUCUUAAAUCUCCCCAUUCCCGUUGGCAAAAAUUAUAAAGGUUUAAACUUUUUAGGUAGCCAAAUCUGUUAGAUUUUUCUUUACUAAUUCUAGGUUUCCAAUUUUACUUAGCCUUCCCCUCACCCUGCAUCAAACAGUUGUAAAGUAUUGUCCUAUCUGUACCUAUUAAUAUUUUAAAAGAUAUAUUGCUUACACUGAGCCUUAAUAUUUUGUUUCAUAUAUGUUGAGAGAUUAUGAAUUCACUUAAAUGACUUCUGAAUUCAUAACUAGUUGUCCUAAUACCUGACAGAGCAGGAGCAUCUCCAUCUUGGACAAGCCUCUCAUUCUAAAGUUCACCUUAAUAAAAAAAUCGCCUAAAUCCAAAGGGCACCAGCCUAAUGGCUAAGGUCAGUACGACCAUAAACCACAAAUAACAUCUUCAACCAGAAACAUUCCAAACUCCUCCCCGACCAGAGACAUGCUAGCCUCGAGAUAACCCACCUCCGGCCGGGAAGAUGCCAGCCCCGAGAUAACCCCUCUCCAAGCCAGAAAGAUGUUUGCCCCAAGAUAACCUCCCUUCCUCCCAGAGACAUUCCAACCCCGCGAUAAAACUUCUCCCUCACAUAGAAACAUUCCAACCUUGUAAUAAGCCCCCUCACCCUAAAACCAAUAGAUACUCUUGGUCUGUAAGAGAAAGCGCUCCUGAUUGAAACUGGCCAGAAGCCCCUCUCAUUUUUUAUUUAAAGUAAACCUGUCUUUAACUGCCAGCUGCAUUUUGUGUUUCUUUCCUCUUUAACUCUUACAAUACUAUUUAUUGAACCAUACAUGGUCCUUUUUGAUGUAAGAGUUAAAAAGAAAUUGUUUAGGCAGAUAGGGUAAGGAAGUCCUCGGUAAGGUUUUCCUUUUAAUGAAAAGCAGCCCCCAAUCAUUUCUUUUCUAACAAAGAGCAGCCUUUAAAAUCAAGCUGCAGACAUAGAUAAGCAAGCUGGAAGCUUGCACGGGGGAAUGCCAGUAGCUGUGCCAACAGGAAAAGGCUACCUGGGGGCUAGGCAUGUUCAACCUGGUGGCUCCAUCUUUUCUUUUCUUUGUCAACCACAGGUACAAUAAGGAGCAGGCAACCUGGCGCCUGCCAGAUAGAGAUUCCAUCUGCAUAAUAAGAGUAGGGUGGGAUGGUCAGCUUCUUCCUGCGCUAUGUAAAUGGCACACCUAGUCUAGCCAAUCUCUGGGCCCUAUGUAAAUCAGACACCGCCUCCUCAAGCUCCUCUAUGAAACCCCAUGCAUUUCACCACUGAACAGGAAGAUCCACUGAAGGCCCCCUCUCUUCCUGUAGGAGAGAGAGCUAUUCUCUUUUUGCUUUCUGUUGCUUAUUAAACCUCCGCUCUUUCUUUUUUUCUUUUUUUUCCUUUUUUUCUUUUUUGAGACAGAGUCUCACUCUGUAGCCCAAGCUGGAGUGCAGUGGUGCGAUCUUGGCUCACUGCAACCUCCGCCUUCUGGGCUCAAGCGAUUCUCGUGCCUCAGCCUCCAAGUAGCUGGGACUACACGCUACAUUUUAGUUUUGUUCCCUCACUUGGCAUUUGUGUCCUUUUUUCUCUCAGUCUCCUCCCUCAUCUCUCCCUUUACCUCAUUUUCAGGGUGUAUGUGUCUGUGUACACUCAUACACAGUGCCUGUAUCUCGUGGUAAUAGGGUGGGGUGCCUGUGUCUUUGUCUUUCUGUAACUUUCUGAAUGUUUAUAUCUUUUUCUGUUACUGACUCUAAUUUUCUCCAUUUUUCUCUUUCUCUCCUUCUGUCUCUUUCCAGAUAAAUGCUACCUGAAGUUACUUGUUGUCUGUCACAGCCACAUCCAAAGGACAAACCAAGUAACUAAGUAUUCCACAACACAGUCACUGAAACAUAAACCCAACCACUGCAUUCAUAACUCUGUAGGCAGCCCUGCUCUUGACCACAUAGAUCCUUUAUGCUUUUAUCAUCAAAACUUUAGAGAACAACUUCAACUACGGUUUUGAAAAAGUGUUAAUGCAUUGAUUAUUAAUAGAGAUUUGGGGCAAAAAACACUUACCUCUUCAUCAUUUUUGCCUCCUUCUUACUGGAAAUAGAAUUGGGACCAGCAUUUAACAACAGGUAGAAAAAGUGAAUAGUCCUGGGUCAGACUUUCCAGAUAUCAUUCAGACAAUCUUGAAGAGAUUUGGGAAGUCUCAAUACCUCACAUUUUUUAGAGUUUUGACAGAGCAGAGACCUAUUUUUCAGUGUGAAAUCAAGGCCGAAUAGCCUGGAAAAGGAGAUGAUGGUAGAACUUGCAUUUCAUCUUCCUUCUUUGUGGAAAGGAUGAAAAACUAUCAGUGAUAUUUCCAGUCUCAGUUGCAGGGAGGGGUCUGGACAUGAAUCAGGUCCUGCUGAUGAGAAGUCCUUGAACAGAGUGGGGAGGCAGAAGAAGAGGGGGCUGUCUUCCUGACAGGCGUGCUCUGGCUGCAGGUUGACAUGGCUGGCCUCAGCCUUUCCCUUUCUAGGCUCCAGCUUUGUGGGUGUGAGGCUUUCAGGGAUGUGGCUGCAGCAGUGGGAGCAGAAGCUCCAAAACUCUGAAUACCAGCUAACUGGUGUGACUUUGAUACAGUAGUGGCUGCCUGACUUAGUUUGUUCCAUAUGCUUGGGAUAGGCCUGCUUUCUACCCAUUGCACCAGUCCUCUUCACUCUCAAACCUGCUCUUAGUGGCCCUGCUCUGUCGCCUGCCACCGCUGCUGGGGCCUGAGUGGUUCACUGCAUCGUGAAGACAGAUUCCAGACGCUGGGAACAAGCGCCUCCAAUCCCAGACGCUAUGUCCAGAAAAGGCUCUGUGGUUCUGGCCUACAGUGGUGGCCUGGACACCUCCUGCAUCCUCCUGUAGCUGAAGGAACAAGGCUAUGAUGUCAUUGCCUACCUGGCCAACAUUAGCCAGAAGGAAGAUUUCAAGGAAACCAGGAAGAAGCAUUGAAGCUUGGGGCCAAAAAGGUGUUCAUUGAGGAUGUCAGCAGGGAGUUUGUGGAGGAGUUCAUCUGGCCAGCCAUCCAGUUCAGCGCACUGCAUGAGGACCGCUACCUCCUGGGCACUUCUCUCACCAGGCCCUGCAUCGCCUGCAAACAAGUGGAAAUUGCCCACCGGGAGGGGGCCAAGUAUGUGUCCCAUGGCGUCACGGGAAAGGGGAGCGAUCAGGUCCAGUUUGAGCUCAACUGCUACUCGCUGGCUCCCCAGAUAAAGGUCAUUGCUCCCUGGAGCAUGCCUGAGUUCUACAACCGGUUCAAGGGCCACAACGACCUGAUGGAAUACGCAAAGCACCACGGGAUUCCCAUCCUGGUCACUCCCAAGAACCUGUGGAGCAUGAACAAGAACCUCAUGCACAUCAGCUACGAGGCUGGAAUCCUGGAGAAUCCCAAGAACCAAGCGCCUCCAGGUCUCUACGCGAAGACCCAGGACCCGGCCCCCAACACCCCUGACAUUCUCGAGAUUGAGUUAAAAAAGGGGUCCCCGUGAAGGUGACUGACAUCAAGGAUGGCUCCACCUACCAGACCUCCUUGGAGCUCUUCAUGUACCUGAACGAAGUCGCGGGCAAACACGGCGUGGGCCGUACUGACAUCGUGGAGAACCGCUUUAUUGGAAUGAAGUCUCGAGGUAUCUAGGAGGCCCCGGCAGGCACCAUCCUUUACCACGCUCAUUUAGACAUCAAGGCCUUCACCAUGGACUGGGAAGUGCACAAAAUCAAACAAGGCCUGGGCUUGAAAUUUGCUGAGCUGGUAUAUACCGGUUUCUGGCACAGCACUGAGUGUGAAUUUGCCUGCCACUGCUUCGCCAAGUCCCAGGAGCCAGUGGAAGGGAAAGUGCAGGUGUCUGUCUUCAAGGGCCAGGUGUACAUCCUCGGCCGGUAGUCCCCACUGUCUCUCUACAAUGAAAAGCUGGUGAGCGUGAACAUGCAGGGUGAUUAUGAGCCAAUUGAUGCUACUGGUUUCAUCAACAUCAGUUCCCUCAGGCUGAAGGAAUAUCAUCAUCUCCAGAGCAAGGUCACUGCCAAAUAGACCCCUGUGCAAUGAGGAGCUGGGGCCUCCUCAAUAUGCAGAGCCCCCAAGUACAGGUGCUAAUUGUUGUGACAAUUUGUAAUUGUGACUUGUUCUCCCCGGCUGGCAGCGUAGUGGGGCUGCCAGGCCCCAGCUUUGUUUCCUGGUCCCCUUGAAGCCUGCAAACGUCAUCGUUGAAGGGAAGGGUGUGGGUCAGCUGCAGUGGGGAGCUAUAAAAUGACAAUUAAAAGAUAACAACUCCCCCCCGCAAAAAAUGCUUAAUUUGGACAGUAAACUUAGUAACCCUAUCUCUAAUUCUUCCAACGUAAGUACCUAAUUACCGGCAUUUAAAUUCUUUCUGUUUGAAACACCUAGAGUAGUUACUGUUUCCUUUAUUGAAUGCCAGCUGAUGUCAAAGGCAGACAAAACCAGAUGGUGGUUAAAGGUGAUAAAGACAGAUUUUGUUCAGUACUCUUGUAAUAGGGGAGAAUAGCCAAUGUAACCUGAGCUCAACUCUGCUGCAACAAAAGGUGGGGCACUUUUUAAAUACUGGGGUGUGCUGAAGAAAAGACACUGAUGAGUGUUAAGGGGCAUAUGGUCUGUGUCACUAGGUUAUCUAGGUUUGCUACUUGGUGCUUAUCUGGAGGAGAAACAAACUUCUUACAUCUUUAUGACAGGGGAAGUUGUGCAAGCUGGGGCAAGGGGCUGCAGAUGUUAUGCCCUUACCUUCACACUGAGAGGAAGAGUUAUCUUCCUAAUGUUUGCAUUUCAGAGAGAUGGCUCCCAGGUCCUUGAGGAGACAGUUUUGCGUGAUAGAAGAUUUAUAUCUCAAGGGCAGAGAAAGGAUUUAUAAUUGCAAGCUUUCGCAGGCAGACAUUUUAAGAGGGAGCUGAGGUCAUCUUAGGGACGAAAUCUUAAUCUGCUAGAAGUCAUACUAGGGUUUGGUCAAGAACAGAGUCUGUCAUGAAUGUACCUGAGAUCAUGAGAUUUUGCUUGAAUUACUUUGGGAAUAUACCAUACCUCACAAGGCAUGGUAUAUAGAACUUGAUUUCAGCAGUCAUCUUUUUUGAAAAUGACUACCAGAGAAUCAGUGUGACCCAAUUUCCAAGACCAAGAGGCACCUGGAGUGAGAAGCUUUGGUGUACAUAUUUACAAAUAUAAAACAGUCUUUUCUUUUUGUGUUGCUAGGAAUAGCCUUUUCUAUUUGUAAUAAAAACAGCUGUUCUUUUUCUACUGGGUUUUGAAAAGAUAUUUACUUCAAUCUUUUUUUUUUUGAGACAGAGUCUUGCUGGACUCUGGAGCGCAGUGGUACCAUCUCGGCUUACUGCAACCUCUGCCUCCCUGGUUCAAGCGAUUCUCUUACUUUAGCCUCCUGAGUAGCUGGGAUUACAGGCACGUGCCACCAUACCUGGCUGAUUUUUGUAUUUUUAGUAGCGAUGGGGUUUCACCAUGUUGGCCAGGCUGAUCUUGAACUCCUGGCCUCAAGUGAUCCACCUGCUUUGGCCUCCCAAAAUGUUGGGAUUACAGGCAUGAGCCACUGUGCUGGCCUACUUUAAUCUUUAUCACCUCAAUUUCUACUCAUCCACAUCCAUUCCAACCAAGUAGAGAAGCAGCCAAGAAUGAUUAAAAUAUUAUAGCUUGUGAAUAUAAUGCAGACUGUGCAGGAUCUUGUUUGUGACCUGAAGAUUGAAAAGGGACCUAAGGCACUGCUGACCCUGGGACUAAGCCUCCACAUUAAGCUUCCUGGCAUUCUUUCUGAGUUUGGCCUGCUGGAGCUGGCCGAUCCUGUGUGCAUUUCUGAUCAACCAUCAAUAUUUCAAGGCCAAGAAUUUGGAGAUAGAGGUGAGGUUUAUUCCAAAUCUCUAAACCAUUUCCACUUAAUACUCAUUAUUGUAGAAGGAAAAAUUUAUUUGUUCUCUGAAAGAGGCACAAAGCACAUUUGAUUAUACCACUUUUCCUGACACUUAUUUUACUAGUAGAUCUGUUUUUAAAAAUAGAAAGCAAAUUAUUAUGCCUGAGUGACUUCAAAGCAUUCCCAUCAUUCCAAUUAGCAACCAUGUUGCUCCCAUGGAGGAGAGAGAGGGGCUGAGGGUAUGUGGGAGUGAAAAAGAGACAGGUAGGAGGAGAGAAAGCGUCAAAGAAAUGACAAGGAAGGGCAAGUUGCCAGGAGCUCAGUGGUUUGAAAUUCUAGCCGGGAUGCGUUCCUUAUUGUAGUUCCUCAACUAAAUGAAAGCUUGCUUGUCUUGGAAAGAAAAUUCAGAAGAUUACAUUCUUGAGGUACGAAGUAAAAGAUCAGACACACUCCAAGGUGAUUGGACUAGAAUCUACAGAAAAUAUUUUCAUAAAACAUUUUCCACAAUCAGUCCCUUUGUAAAAACAUGAUUUGGAGAGAGUGCUAUAAACAAAUAAAAAACACAAACAUUUCAAUAUUACUUUCUUCUUUAGUUUGUGUUAUUUUAAGGAGGGUGGAGAAUGAAAUAAUGUCUUCAGAAACAUAUUAAACAAGUCAGUUCAAGACAAUCUCUGGUGA